GGUAGUAUGGCCGAUUAGGCGGUAAACUGUAAAUUUACACAUAGGGCCCGGCCCUUGCUCCCA
rnacentral:tRNA from 1 species